rnacentral:rRNA from 1 species
CCUACGGGAGGCAGCAGUGGGGAAUAUUGCACAAUGGGGGAAACCCUGAUGCAGCGACGCCGCGUGAGUGAAGAAGUAUUACGGUAUGUAAAGCUCCAUCAGCAGGGAAGAAGAAAGACGGUACCUGACUAAGAAGCCCCGGCUAACUACGUGCCAGCAGCCUCGGUAAUACGUAGGGGGCAAGCGUUAUCCGGAUUUGCUGGGUGUAAAGGGAGCGUAGACGGCUGUGCAAGUCUGAAGGGAAAACCCAGGGCUCAAACCUGGGACAGCCUGGGAAACUGUGGAGCUAGAGUGCUGGAGAGGUACGUGGAAUGCCUAGUGUAGCGGUGAAAUGCGUAGAUAUUAGGAGGAACCCCAGUGGCGAAGGCGGCUUACUGGACAGUAACUGACGUUGAGGCUCGAAAGCGUGGGGAGCAAACAGGAUUAGAUACCCCGGUAGUC